GACAGAGGUGCCAAGCGUUAGGCGGAAUCACUGGGCUUAAAGCGUGUGUAGGCGGACUUGUAAGUACCUUGUGAAAUCCCACGGCUCACCCGUGGAACUGCUGGGUAUACUGCGAGUCUUGAGCCACUUAGGGGCUGUCGGAACAGGCGGUGGAGCGGUGAAAUGCGUAGAUAUCGUCUGGAACGCCGAAGGUGAAAACAGCUCGCUGGGGCUGUGCUGACGCUGAGACACGAAAGCCAGGGGAGCGAACGGG
rnacentral:rRNA from 1 species